rnacentral:misc_RNA from 1 species
GGUAAUUCCUUUUAAAUUAAGGCCCCACCCUAUAUAUCUUUCUUGUUACAAAAUCACUGUCAAAUACAAAUCGUGAAAGUAGCUAAUUUUUGAAUCAUGAUAAUGAUACAUUUCCUUUUUCCUUUUUUUUUUUCAUUUAUUUCUAGCAAAGAAAUACAAAUAAAUAUCAAAAUAAAAUUAUCAGCCGCUAGCCAGUACAAUUCAAGGAACUACACAAGAGAGAAACUACAUUACACAAACAACAUCCCUACAGCAGACAAUUAGAAAUAAUAUGCUACAAAGAAAUAUUAUCCUCUGUAAAAUGAAAAAAUGACUUUCUUCACUCGCUGGAAAACUUGCCGCCUUGGACCAGGAUCUUGUAAGUGGCUAGAAUCCGGAAGCCACACCAAUUAAUGCGCACAGCGUCUCUGUGACAGUUCUUUCUGCUGGAUAUCAGAAAGUUUGCAUGAGAUGAGAUCUAAAAGAAAUGGUCAAAAUAGCAUCCUUUUGUUUAUUACCAUUAUAACUGAGUCAAAAUCUAAACUACAACCAGAUGGCACAGUGGUGGUGAAUACGGAUUGCAGCUAGUCCACAGAAACAAGUGCAGUUCAUUGAAUUUCAUGACUCAGACAAAUGAAUACUACCUCCGAUUCAGGCUCUAAUUAACAUUUCAUAAUGAAAAAAGAAUCAAUGUUUUUCAGUCCCUUUCAUAACAAACAUGCGCCAAGAUGAAUCUACUAUUACAAAGCAACACAAUAUGAUGAUCUGUGGUUUUAAGAAAGUUAAAAAGUGCAGUUUUCCAGAAGGGUAGAUACCUAAAUAAAAGUCAAGACCCUUCAAAGGAUUGUGCAAUAUCUUCGUUGAAUUCACCAAAAAUAUUUGGGCAUCCCUCCCAAUUUCCCUGUUCUCGUGCUUCCCAGUAACCACCAGCAUAGUAGAAAGGUCCAUCUUCACCUUCUCUCUGAAACCACCUGGGCUUCCAUCCAUGCUCUUGUAAUUUCCUCGACAUUCUUUGCCGCUUCUCCAACCGUUGUUUCUCUGCAUUUGCCUUCUCAUAUUCCCCAUUCUCCAGAUGCCGUUGGUCUGGUCUAAGCCUGGAAUCCGUAGGUGGGAGCUUCUCCUUAAUCCGUGAUCAAAUACCCGGGAUCAGACAUGGCUUCAGUCCAGGUGUUAAUUCAUUCAGAGUGAUCGCAAAUGACGUUAAAUUGUACCGAGUGACAUUAGGAGGUGGCUUUGUACUUUUCCAAAGCAAGGUGGCACUAGAUGAGGAAUUGAAAUCUUUUGUCUUGCUACUCCCAUCGCCUUCAGUAUAAUACAUGCUGUCAUCCCACUUCCCAAAUAAUGUAGCAACUUUUUUCCCCGAGACAUCUUCAACAAACCCAUUAACCUGGUGAGGAUUUCUGUCUAGAAUUGAUUGUUCUUUGAACUUGAGUUUGCAUGAAUAUUGUCGAUUUCCACGUAUAUGCAUUAUUCCAUGGUGAUCACAAUACACUUUACCGAGGAUAAGAUUGUAAAUCGUUGUCGUCACCUUGCUCCAUUGAAAUAUUUCACCAUCAUCAAACUCCAGGGUCAGAACUCCAACAGGAUCAAGCUGAAUUGACCGACCCCAAAAUUUUGUGCGGAGGUUGCUAUCAGCUGAAAACUUCCACCCUCUACCUUCACAGUGGCAGGCAAUGAGAGUUGGGUGAUGACUAACCUUCUCAGAGAAGAAACGAACUCCUCUAUCAGGAAAGUCAGCUUCAUAAGUUUCUCCAAGCAAAGGAUUGAAGGGUUUGCAGUGCCUGCCUUCAGAAGAAGCAUAUCCAGAAACAGCAAAUGCAGCAACAUAUACGAUCCUCAGGAGACUAUUUCCCUUAUUAAAGUUUUAAUUUGAAACAGAAUGGAAUCCACCAAUCUCCAUUGAUGCAUGCCCCUUGAGUUAUUUACCAUCUCUUAUAAAACAUUUGAAUGUGCACAAACAUAUCUCCUGGGGAUCUCCUAUAAAGAUCAAGCAUGGCAAGAAAGCAGAGGAGGAAACACACAUACACAAAAUGAAAAAACAAAAACAAAAAGCAACAACAAAAUAUUUUUAACUAGACCAAUAUUAAUAUACAUACUGCAUCAUAAAGGGGCGAAAUGUUCAUUUGAAUCAAGACCCACAAUAUGUAACAAACCAAGAACUGUAUGGAAAUCUUACUCCUUUUCCAUAUUCAUAUGCUUGGUCCAAAAGAUAAGAAUACUCCAAGUCCUCAAAGCACUUCUGAAGAGAUGAUAUUGGUUCAUUGAAGUAAACAGGAAGACAAACUCGUGUGAGAUCCUUCCCCACAUUGUCUUUGAUCAUAGACCACAGACUAACCCCUUUCUCCUUCUCAACUGGGUCAGGAAGCUUCUUUCGCCUUUCAAUGUGUGGAUAUCCAGAAUGACAAAGUUGCAUCUUGGCAAGCAUCUUCUCCUCAUUAUCAAUUUGAUUGUGUUCCCUGUGUUUCUCACACUGACUGGCAGCUUCUUUUAUUGAUCCAUGAAUAACUGUAGGUUCAGUAAAAUACUCUUUUGUAUCGUAAAAGGAGACCUCAUCUUCUUCUGACACUUCCUCAAGCUCUUGUUUCUCAAUAUCAUCAGAUGAUUCUGUAGUGCUACAUUCACUUAAUUUUCCACGCCCUAAACUUGAAAAUUCAUGCUUUGUCAAUUGAAAUUCACCAUCUGGAAUUCCAGAUGUUUCAGCUUCAAUAUUGGCCGCCUCUAAUUGCCUCAAUGUGUCUAGCAAAUUGGAGCGUUCCUCGCAAAGUAACUUAAGUUGUCCUUGUAUUUCGGAGAAUUCAGACAGCAUGAUCUGCUCACAAUCCUUGACUAGGUUCUCAAUGACACCCUCUUCAAGUAAGCGCUUUUUAAGCCUUUCUGUUGAAAUAGACAAAUCUUUUGGUACAAGGGAGAAACUAUCAUUUAGUGAUCUUGAUGGAAAGAGGCUCCUGGUUGAGACCAAAGCUUGUAUCCAAGCCACCCUAUCUCUUUUUGAAUCAGUUCUCAGAUGAAGUGUCUUCGUAGCUGUAAAUAUGUAAAAUCGCCUAUCAUCGGACUUGCUCUCUCGGAAUGACGAGAUCUUUAAAUGAACAAUGCCAACACUUUUCUGGGGCUUCCGGCGACAACUUCCACUGUCCAUCCUCGAUAGCCGAUUGGUAGAGAUUUCUCCGAUCAGUCUCACAUCAUCAUUAGGGGUUAACAAAUUCAGAUUCUCAGGCCGCCGAAUCUUUGAGUAAGAGAGAACGCCGUUUUUAAGUAAGAACCACCGUGAUCUCCACCCCUUGCUGUAAUUCGUCCACUUGUAUAGCACUCCAGCUACGGUAGCCUCCGAUCCCGCUGUAAUCCGCCCCGCAUUGCCAUCAGAUCCGCCGGAAAACCCAACAGGCAAGGAUCUCGUCCUGGUCAACGACGCAUCAGGCGACUGGUUCCCGAUUCCGGGGCUCUCCAGCGAGAUGCAGCAAAGCGGGUGCAUUUCCUUGACCCUCAUUUUCAUUACCAUUAGCCCCCAAAAAAAACGUCACAUCAAACGAACACACUCCCUGAGCUCUUGAACUGAGAGAUUCAAUUAAGAGGAGAUAGCCAAAAAGGAGAGAGAUUUUCCACUUUCUUAUUAAAAAAAGAAAAAAGGGAAAAAUCUAGUUGUAGUGAAGGGGCUAUAUCAAGAGCACGCUUUGAACUUAUGAAUAUAUAUGGCAAUGGAAGAGGAAGAAGAAAAGAGAGAAG